rnacentral:ncRNA from 1 species
UGAAUCCCGUCUGAGUAGCUGUUAGCCACAGGCUCAGUAUCGAGUUUUGCAGCGUUGGUAUAAGACGUUUCACGUUGAAGUCCAACGUUGAAGCGUAAACAGAAAGGUAGUGAGGGUGAAAGGUACUGACUGGCUGUCAGGCCCUGAACGAGAUUGAGCUCCGAAAACAUGGUUUCCUGUCGGAUACUGCCCACGGUCUGUGCAUGCCUGAAGGCCACGCUCAACGACGCGUCAAUGGCGAGUGUAGUUGAGAGUCCCGGAGUCGAGGAUCC